UACGUAGGUGGCAAGCGAUACUCGGAAUCACUAGGCGUAAAGCGCAGGUAGGCGGUUUGAUAAGUCUGUUGUGAAAGCUCCCGGCUUAACUGGGAGAGGUCAACGGAAACUGUCAGGCUAGAGUGUGGUAGAGGUAGCUGGAAUUCCCGGUGUAGCGGUGAAAUGCGUAGAUAUCUGGAGGAACACCGGUGGCGAAGGCGGCAUCCUGGACCAAUAUUGACGCUGAGGAGCGAAAGCCAGGGGAGCAAACGGG
rnacentral:rRNA from 1 species